rnacentral:rRNA from 1 species
UACGUAUGUCGCGAGCGUUAUCCGGAAUUAUUGGGCAUAAAGGGCAUCUAGGCGGCCGGGUAAGUCCGGGGUGAAAACUGCUGGCUCAACCAGCAGCCUGCCUUGGAAACUACUCGGCUUGAGUGCUGGAGAGGUGGACGGAACUGCACGAGUAGAGGUGAAAUUCGUAGAUAUGUGCAGGAAUGCCGAUGAUGAAGAUAGUUCACUGGACGGCAACUGACGCUGAAGUGCGAAAGCUAGGGGAGCGAACAGG